rnacentral:rRNA from 1 species
UACGAAGGGGGCUAGCGUUGCUCGGAAUCACUGGGCGUAAAGCGCACGUAGGCGGGUUCUUAAGUCAGGGGUGAAAUCCUGGAGCUCAACUCCAGAACUGCCUUUGAUACUGGGAAUCUCGAGUCCGGGAGAGGUGAGUGGAACUGCGAGUGUAGAGGUGAAAUUCGUAGAUAUUCGCAAGAACACCAGUGGCGAAGGCGGCUCACUGGUCCGGUACUGACGCUGAGGUGCGAAAGCGUGGGGAGCAAACAGG